AAAGCGCGCGUAGGUGGUUUGUUAAGUUGGAUGUGAAAUCCCCGGGCUCAACCUGGGAACUGCAUUCAAAACUGACUGACUAGAGUAUGGUAGAGGGUGGUGGAAUUUCCUGUGUAGCGGUGAAAUGCGUAGAUAUAGGAAGGAACACCAGUGGCGAAGGCGACCACCUGGACUGAUACUGACACUGAGGUGCGAAAGCGUGGGGAGCAAACAGGAUUAGAUACCCGAGU
rnacentral:rRNA from 1 species